UGGGGAAUAUUGCACAAUGGGCGCAAGCCUGAUGCAGCCAUGCCGCGUGUAUGAAGAAGGCCUUCGGGUUGUAAAGUACUUUCAGUCGGGAGGAAGGGAGUAAAGUUAAUACCUUUGCUCAUUGACGUUACCCGCAGAAGAAGCACCGGCUAACUCCGUGCCAGCAGCCGCGGUAAUACGGAGGGUGCAAGCGUUAAUCGGAAUUACUGGGCGUAAAGCGCACGCAGGCGGUUUGUUAAGUCGGAUGUGAAAUCCCCGGGCUCAACCUGGGAACUGCAUCUGAUACUGGCAAGCUUGAGUCUCGUAGAGGGGGGUAGAAUUCCAGGUGUAGCGGUGAAAUGCGUAGAGAUCUGGAGGAAUACCGGUGGCGAAGGCGGCCCCCUGGACGAAGACUGACGCUCAGGUGCGAAAGCGUGGGGAGCAAACAGG
rnacentral:rRNA from 1 species